rnacentral:lncRNA from 1 species
UAUGACCCUAGCACUGUGACCUCACUUCCUUGGCAACAAGUAGAAACAGAACUCGGAACCCUGGGGUCACUGGGCACCACAGUCCAGCGACAGCUGCCUAACAGCCACUUGGCUGGAGAGAGUCAGCAGUGAUCAUGCUGUGCUGCUUUCCCAGACCUCGAGGCCGCAGCAGCAGGACCCUGCACAGGGAAAGCACUUGGGCGUGAGUGAGAGGAUGGAUGGCUAAGUCCCCAUGCUUCAGGCCACUCACCAAGAACUGCCUGGCCUUCAGGGGCAGCACAGGGUGGGUCUCACCAGACCCAGAGACCUGGGGACCUGAGAUGAGCGGGAGCCCAGGGCAGAUCUCCCUGGACCUGGACACCAGACACUCGGGGCCACCGAGUCCAGGACAGGUCCAGUCAGGCCCGGCCACCAUUGCCCUCCACUUCUUGGUGGAGCUACACUUCCAGGUGAAUCCACCAGCUGAACUCCUGGCCCAACUGGAGCAAGCUUAGCCCACUGAGGCACAGCCCACGGGUGAGGAGGACGGGGUGUGGGCCUGUGGGCAUGAGGGGAGGGAUGGGCCUUUAGACACAGAGACAGUUUCCAGGUGCUGGUGUGACCUGAGAUC